rnacentral:rRNA from 1 species
GUGCGAACGGGUGAGUAAUGUAUCGGAACGGUACCUUUCAGUGGGGGAUAACGUAGCGAAAGUUACGCUUAAUACCGCAUAUUCUGUGAGCAGGAAAGCAGGGGAUCGCAAGACCUUGCGCUGAUUGAGCGGCCGAUAUCAGAUUAGCUAGUUGGUGAGGUAAAGGCUCACCAAGGCGACGAUCUGUAGCGGGUCUGAGAGGAUGAUCCGCCACACUGGAACUGAGACACGGUCCAGACUCCUACGGGAGGCAGCAGUGGGGAAUUUUGGACAAUGGGGGCAACCCUGAUCCAGCCAUGCCGCGUGAGUGAAGAAGGCCUUCGGGUUGUAAAGCUCUUUCGUCCGGGAAGAAAUCGCAUCAGCUAAUACCUGGUGGGAUGACGGUACGGGA